rnacentral:snRNA from 2 species
UUGCUUUGGUGGCAUUAAUACUAAAAUUGGAAUGAUAUAGAGAUUAGCACAGCCCUUGCUUACAUAAGAAUGACAUUCAGAUUCCUUCCAUAUUUUU